CCCUACGGGGCGCAGCAGUCGCGAAAACUUCACAAUGGGGGCAACCCCGAUGAGGGAAUUCCUAGUGCUAGCACAUUUGUGUUAGCUUUUCUCUAGCGUAGAUAACUAGAGGAAUAAGGGCUGGGAAAGACGGGUGCCAGCCGCCGCGGUAAUACCUGCAGCCCAAGUGGUGGUCGAUUUUAUUGAGUCUAAAACGUUCGUAGCCGGUUCGAUAAAUCUUUGGGUAAAUCGGGGGGCUUAACCUUCCGUCUUCCGAGGAGACUGUCGAACUUGGGACCGGGAGAGGCUAGAGGUACUUCUGGGGUAGGGGUAAAAUCCUGUAAUCCUAGAAGGACCACCGGUGGCGAAGGCGUCUAGCUAGAACGGAUCCGACGGUGAGGGACGAAGCCCUGGGUCGCAAACGGGAUUAGAUACCCCGGUAGUCCAGGGUGUAAACGCUGCAGACUUGGUGUUGGAAGCCCUUUGGGGGCAUUCAGUGCCGGAGAGAAGUUGUUAAGUCUGCUACUUGGGGAGUACGUCCGCAAGGAUGAAACUUAAAGGAAUUGGCGGGGGAGCACCGCAACGGGAGGAGCGUGCGGUUUAAUUGGAUUCAACACCGUAAAACUCACCAGGGAAGACU
rnacentral:rRNA from 1 species